UACAGAGGUCUCAAGCGUUGUUCGGAUUCAUUGGGCGUAAGGGCGCGUAGGCGGCGCGGUAAGUCGGGUGUGAAAUCUCGGAGCUUAACUCCGAAACUGCAUUCGAUACUGCCGUGCUUGAGGACUGGAGAGGAGACUGGAAUUUACGGUGUAGCGGUGAAAUGCGUAGAUAUCGUAAGGAAGACCAGUGGCGAAGGCGGGUCUCUGGACAGUUCCUGACGCUGAGGCACGAAGGCCAGGGGAGCAAACGGG
rnacentral:rRNA from 1 species